UGCAGGGGGUGUGCGUUCAAUCCCUUAACAUCCCACAUGUCUGGGGGCCAAAAAACCAAAACAUAAAACAGAAGUAGUAUUAUAACAAAUUCAAUAAAGACUUUUAAAAAAGAGACAGAGUUAGGAGUUUUAACCUAAUGAAGACAUAAGGUAAAGCCUAUGUCUUCUGUGAAAUUGCCCCAUAAGGCCCAUCAGAAUAGCCACUAAUUUCCAGCACCUGUUCAUCUGCCUUUAAUUAAACCUGCUCUCCCUUAAACACCAGCACCAAGAUAAAUGAGAGAAAGCUAAUUCAAUCUUAUUGAUUCCCUGUUUUGUUUAAUCACUAGAGUUACUGUUUUGCUUAAUUACUAAAGAUUGCAUUCUACUAUUUCUAUUUCAAAUACACCUUGACUCAGUUACAAUAUUUCUGCAGAGAAAUGUGCUCUACCUUCCAGUCCUUUUAUAAACAUUUUAAACUCAACAGUUUCAUCAACAAAAAAAUUAGCUGUCUGCAGUUAAAAGCUGAAACCAAUAUUGUAAAAAAUAAGUGGUGUAGGCUGGGGGAUAACUGGAGACCUCUGAAGGAAGUAACAUCUAAGUGGAAUUCUGCAGGAUAGAAGAGGAUUUAGGAGAAAGAUUUUAUGUCCAAGAGCUUCCAGCCCAGAAUCAGCAUAAUAUGCUCUGAGCAUGCUUGAGGGAUACAGUUAUUCCCAGGGCCAGCAAUGGCCCACAGGUCAACAGAUCCUCAACUAUAGGGAUGUGGAAGUGAGAAUAUCAGGCUAAGAAGGAAGGAGGAGUGGUGACGGACAUGAGAGAUUUCAAAAACUCCACUUAAGGAAGGGGCUUCUCUGGUGGCUCAGUGGUGAAGAAUCCGCCUGCCAAUGCUAGAGACAUGGGUUCAAUCCCUGACUGGGGGUCUGGGGAGGGAAUCCUGCGUGCCAUGGAGCAACUAAGCCUGUGCACCGCAACUCUUGAGCCUGUGCUGCCCAGCCUGGGAGCCACAACUAGCCAGCCCACAUGCCGCAACUGCUGAAGCCCAAGUACCCUACAGCCCAUGCUCCACAUCAAGAGAAGCCCCUGCAAUGAGAAGCCCACGGACUGCAACUAGAGAGAAGCCCCCACCAUCCUCAACUAGAGAAAAGCCCAUGCAGCAACAAAGCCUAACACAGCAAAAAUAUAAAUAAAUAAAUGUUUUUAAAAAACCCACUUAACAUUUUGAUAUUGCUUCCUUCAGCACUCCACUCAUCCCUGCCUGCACACUCAGUGGCUCAGCCGUGUUCAACUUUUUGUGACCCCACCCCUGGACUGCAGCCCACCAGGCUCCUCUGUCCAUGGGAUCCUCCAGGCAAGAAUACUGGAGUGGGUAGCCGUGGGAAGCCACAGGAGACUUUUGAAGAAAAUGCUGUCCUUUUUAACGUGCUUCACAGCUACUUUUUAAAGUAUUUCAUGGAGUAAUAACCUAAUUUCCUAAACAUUAGACAAGACUAUAUCUGCACUUUUCAAGAGUAAUUCACACAAUACUCAACCCAUAGAUUUUCGUUAAAAAGGUUCAGUCCACAUAAGUUUGGGAAAUCUCGUAUCACAUCCCUUUCUGUCGGAGUUCACAAACCAUAUUAAUUAGCCUACUAAAGGAUCUAAGAACUCUCACUGUAGAACUC
ensembl:lncRNA